rnacentral:rRNA from 1 species
GACGAACGCUGGCGGCGGGCUUAACACAUGCAAGUCGAACGGUGAACCUCUUCGGAGGGGAUCAGUGGCGAACGGGUGAGUAACACGUGGGCAACCUGCCCCCGGCCUUGGGUUAACUCGAAGAAAAUGGGGCUAAACCUGGACUUUUACCGCUUCCCGCAUGGGGGGUGGUGGAGAGGGUUUUCGGCUGUGGCUGGGCCGGCGGCCCAGCAGCUGGUUGGUGGGGUAGGGGGGUUCCAGGGCCACGACGGGGAGGCGGCCUGGGAGGGUGGCCGGCCACACUGGGCCUGCGAGAGGGCCCAGUCUCCUACGGGAGGCAGCAGGGGGGAAUAUUGCGCAGUGGGCGGAAGCCUGUCGCAGCGACGCCGCGUGGGGGAUGACGGCCUUCGGGUUGUAAACCUCUUUCGGCAGGGACGAAGCGCAAGUGACGGUACCUGCAGAAGAAGCACCGGCCAACUACGUG